GAUGAACGCUGGCGGCGUGCCUAAUACAUGCAAGUCGAGCGAAGAGGGGACGGGUGAGUAACACGUGGAUAACCUCCUAUAAGACUGGGAUAAGUUCGGGAAACCGGAGCUAAACGGGAAGUGUAUCGAUGGAACCGGGAUGCAUUUGCUAGUUGGUAAGGUAACGGCUUACCAAGGCAACGAUGCAUAGCCGACAUGAGAGGGUGAUCGGCCACACUGGAACUGAGACACGGUCCAGACUCCUACGGGAGGCAGCAGUAGGGAAUCUUCCGCAAUGGGCGAAAGCCUGACGGAGCACGGCCGCGUAGUUUAUAAGGGUCUUCGGAUCUUAAAACUCUUUUAUUAGGGAAGCGGUACCUAAUCAGAAAGCCACGGCUAACUACGUGCCAGCAGCCGCGGUAAUUC
rnacentral:rRNA from 1 species